GACGAACGCUGGCGGCGUGCCUAACACAUGCAAGUCACGGGGGGUAGCAAUACCAACCGGCGAACGGGUGCGGAACACGUGAGCAAUCUGCCGAUUUCUGGGGGAUAGCCGGCCCAACGGCCGGGUAAUACCGCGUACGCUCAUUGGGGGACAUCCCCUGGUGAGGAAACCUACGGGGGAAAUCGAGGAGCUCGCGUCCUAUCAGCUUGUUGGCGGGGUAACGGCCCACCAAGGCUAUGACGGGUAGCUGGUCUGAGAGGAUGGCCAGCC
rnacentral:rRNA from 1 species